rnacentral:snoRNA from 1 species
AGGUCACUUUAAAGAGGGCUUGUUGGACUGUAAACCCAAAGCUCUUAAUGCUGUGACCAAAGAUUGAGACUCUCCACAGAAUGCCAGAGGCUCUUUCUGGUGCUGCGUUCUUCUGAGGAGAUACAGGC